GUGGCACUGGCGUAAUUUUACACUAUACACUUCUUCUCGCACGAGAAGGUAAAGGUGGCUUUGGCCUGUGGCGAGAGUCCACGUGACGCAAAUUCUGGAUGUGGCAGCCACCGACGCAAGGUGACGCGCAACGUGAGCAUCCUUUCACUGCAAAAGGAACGCCAGCAUCGCGGCUGACCGCGCCCUUCAGCAGGAGCAGCUGCCAUUUGUUGGAGCCACUGGUCCAGCCUGGCUCGUCCCCAACGUCACGCGUUGUACAGGCUCGUUGCUCUGGCGCUGGGGAGGAGGAGAAGCCUCCGCGUUGUGUUUUAACCACUCCCAUGGGAGUCCUUCCUUCCUGCUGUAUUUAUGCGUUCCGCCAGCCCGGCCCUUUGAAAUAAAACACAGUAUUUGAGUUCCUUGA